AGCAGCCGCGGUAAUUCCAGCUCCAAUAGCGUAUAUUAAAGUUGUUGCAGUUAAAAAGCUCGUAGUUGAAUUUCGGGAUCAGUACGUCGGUCGUGCCUUCGGUACGUACUGGCGCCGCUGAUUUCUCCCUUCUGACGAACCGUGAUGUCAUUAAUUUGGUGUUGCGGGGAAUCAGGACUGUUACUUUGAAAAAAUUAGAGUGUUUAAAGCGGGCACGCGCUUGAAUACAUUAGCAUGGAAUAACGAAAUAGGACGUUCGAUCUUAUUUUGUUGGUUUCUAGGAUUGACGUAAUGAUUAAUAGGGAUAGUUGGGGGCAUUAGUAUUCAAUUGUCAGAGGUGAAAUUCUUGGAUUUAUUGAAGACUAACUACUGCGAAAGCAUUUGCCAAGGAUGUUUUCAUUAAUCAAGAACGAAAGUUAGGGGAUCGAAGACGAUCAGAUACCGUCGUAGUCUUAACCAUAAACUAUGCCGACUAGGGAUCGGAUGAUGUUAAUUUUAUAAUGACUCAUUCGGCGCCUUA
rnacentral:rRNA from 1 species